UACGAAGGGGGCUAGCGUUGUUCGGAAUUACUGGGCGUAAAGCGCACGUAGGCGGAUUGUUAAGUUAGGGGUGAAAUCCCAGGGCUCAACCCUGGAACUGCCUUUAAUACUGGCAAUCUCGAGUCCGAGAGAGGUGAGUGGAAUUCCGAGUGUAGAGGUGAAAUUCGUAGAUAUUCGGAGGAACACCAGUGGCGAAGGCGGCUCACUGGCUCGGUACUGACGCUGAGGUGCGAAAGCGUGGGGAGCAAACAGGAUUAGAAACCCCCGUAGUCC
rnacentral:rRNA from 1 species